AGCUUAAGUGGCCUAGUGGAUAGAGCGUCCGACUCUGAUUCGGAAGGUGGCGGGUUCGAUUCUCAGCCGAGUCA